rnacentral:rRNA from 1 species
GACGAACGCUGGCGGCGUGCUUAACACAUGCAAGUCGAACGGAGUGGCGAGCGGGUGAGUAACACGUGGGUGACCUUCCCUGCACUUCGGGAUAAGCCUGGGAAACUGGGUCUAAUACCGGAUAGUGUGGGAUGGGACCGCGGCCUAUCAGCUUGUUGGUGGGGUAAUGGCCUACCAAGGGGGCGACGGGUAGCCGGCCUGGGAGGGUGGACUGCCACAUUGGGACUGGGACACGGCCCAGACACCUACGGGAGGCAGAAGUGGGGAAUAUUGCACGAUGGGCGGAAGCGUGAUGCAGAGACGCCGCGUGGGGGGUGACGGGCUUCGGGUUGUAAACUCCUUUCACCAUAGACGCGGUAGAUGGAGAAGAAGCACCGGCUAACUACGUGCCAGCAGCCGCGGUAAUAC